rnacentral:tRNA from 1 species
GCCUGCCUAGCUCAAUCGGAUAGAGCGUCAGACUCUUAUUUGUGCUUAAAUUGUUAAUCUGAAGGCUGCGAGUUCGACCCUCGCGGUGGGCU